UUGAAGUAAAAAUUAAAAAUGGUAAGAAGGUAACAAAAUUGUUGGUGAAAUUAGGGCUCGAAACAAAAUUAGGGCUCGAGAGGAACGGCACUAUGGUUGCUGCUGCUGCUGCUUCUUCUUGCUCUGGCGAACCUCACAGUUGUUGUGAUAAGCUAUUUUGCCCAAAUUCAAUGGAUUAGCUUCUUUUUGUGUUGGCUGAGUAGUUUGUUUCUCGUCAGGCAGGUUCUUUUUCUCGACGUUCUUCCUGCAAAUACUACAAUGAAUGAAUUCCAACUCUCACAUAUUCCAUUUUCAACAACACUACACUGUGUAGUCGAUAUCGGUCGGAUAUUGUUAUCGGCGUUCCUUCAGAAUAUCGGUGAUAUGUACCGAUAUUCCAACGAUAUGUUUUUUACCAAAUAUCAGUCUUAUUGCCGUUAUACCAGGUA